GAUGAAGAACGUAGCGAAAUGCGAUAAGUAAUGUGAAUUGCAGAAUUCAGUGAAUCAUCGAAUCUUUGAACGCACCUUGCACCCUUUGGCAUUCCGAAGGGUAUGCUCGUUUGAGUGUCAUUGUACUCUCACACUCUCCGAUCCUAUGGAUUCGGGGGGCGGUGGACUUGGGUGUUGCUGCCUUUCCUUGUGGCUCACCUCAAAUGUGUCAGUGCACCUCUUGGUUGGACAUAGUACGGCGUGAUAAGUGUCUUCGCCGGCACCUCGCAAGAGGGUGGCCGAUCGGGAGCUCUGUGCUUUCAAACCGUCUUCGGACAAUUUCUGACAACUUGACCUCAAAUCGAGUAGGACUACCCGCUGAACUUAAGCAUAUCAAUAAGCGGAGGA
rnacentral:misc_RNA from 1 species